rnacentral:rRNA from 1 species
CCUACGGGAGGCAGCAGUGGGGAAUAUUGCACAAUGGGGGAAACCCUGAUGCAGCCAUGCCGCGUGAGUGAAGAAGGCCUUCGGUUUGUAAAGCUCUUUCAGCGAGGAGGAAAGUGUCGGUAGAUAAUAUCCUAUUGCAGUGACGUUACUCGCAGAAGAAGCACGCGGCUAACU